AGAUUGAACGCUGGCGGCAUGCCUUACACAUGCAAGUCGAACGGCAGCACGGACUUCGGUCUGGUGGCGAGUGGCGAACGGGUGAGUAAUAUAUCGGAACGUACCCUGGAGUGGGGGAUAACGCAGCGAAAGUUGCGCUAAUACCGCAUACGAUCUACGGAUGAAAGUGGGGGCUCGCAAGACCUCAUGCUCGUGGAGCGGCCGAUAUCUGAUUAGCUAGUUGGUAGGGUAAAAGCCUACCAAGGCCUCGAUCAGUAGCUGGUCUGAGAGGACGACCAGCCACACUGGGACUGAGACACGGCCCAGACUCCUACGGGAGGCAGCAGUGGGGAAUUUUGGACAAUGGGGGCAACCCUGAUCCAGCAAUGCCGCGUGAGUGAAGAAGGCCUUGGUGUAAAGCUCUUUGUCAGGAAGAACGGUAGAGGCUAAUAUCCUUGUCUAAUGACGGUACCUAGAAGAAUAAGACACCGCUAACUACGUA
rnacentral:rRNA from 1 species